rnacentral:lncRNA from 1 species
UCUACAUCAACGCAAAAUUUAUUGUGUUUCCUUAUCAAAUCAAACUUUUUCUCCAAUUCACAAAGAGAACAUUAUAACAAACACAAAAAUAAAGAUCAAAAAAGCAAAAAGAGAGGAGAAGAGUUAUAAAGAACACUAAGGAUAAUUUCACCUUGUGUUUUAUAAACUUGUAUAGAUCAAACCUCAAAAUGAAGAUGAAGAUUAAUUCAUUCUUGGUUCAUAGGAGGGAGUGGAGGUCUAGGGUUGCUGUGAGAAACGUCUCGAUCCGAUCUUCUAGUUUUGACGAUCCCAAAGGAAGAAGCAGCAGAUGAAAGAACAGAACAAAAAGAGAACACGUUUAUUCUUAGUAGGUUUU